rnacentral:rRNA from 1 species
UGAGGAAUAUUGGUCAAUGGACGGAAGUCUGAACCAGCCAAGUAGCGUGCAGGAUGACGGCCCUAUGGGUUGUAAACUGCUUUUGUAUGGGGAUAAAGUUAGGGACGUGUCCCUAUUUGCAGGUACCAUAUGAAUAAGGACCGGCUAAUUCCGUGCCAGCGGCCGCGGUAAUACGGAAGGUUCAGGCGUUAUCCGGAUUUAUUGGGUUUAAAGGGAGCGUAGGCUGGAGAUUAAGUGUGUUGUGAAAUGUAGACGCUCAACGUCUGACUUGCAGCGCAUACUGGUUUCCUUGAGUACGCACAACGUUGGCGGAAUUCGUCGUGUAGCGGUGAAAUGCUUAGAUAUGACGAAGAACUCCGAUUGCGAAGGCAGCUGACGGGAGCGCAACUGACGCUUAAGCUCGAAGGUGCGGGUAUCAAACAGGAUUAGAUACCCUGGUAGUCCGCACAGUAAACGAUGGAUGCCCGCUGUUGGUACCUGGUAUCAGCGGCUAAGCGAAAGCAUUAAGCAUCCCACCUGGGGAGUACGCCGGCAACGGUG